GGUUACAGAGAAGCUUUAGCACUCACAUAAAUCACAAUAUAUUGUUUUGAGUUAGUUUUUGGUGAAAAUUCUUCAGUGUUCUUCUUGAGUGUGAAGACAUUCUUGAGUUUUGGGGAGAAGAAGCUAGGAUCUUGAAGCUUAGCAUUUUCGGAAGCAAUUAAUUUUCUAAGGGCCUGUUCAUGUGAUUUCUCUGUGGCCGCUUAAAAUAGCCGAUCUAAAAUUAAGUUGAUGCAUCUACGUAGAUGUUGAGGGAUCAAUUCGGUAGAAUUAGACGAGGCUGAUGGGCUCAAUGCAGUGGGAUUAAUUUUUGAUGCAUCUAUUUGUGAUGGGGUUGGAACUGGCUAUAUGGUGUUGGGCAAGAGGGGUAAUUAAGUUUUAUGAGGUGUAAAAAAGGGACUUCUCUUACUCCUAUAUGGACUGGGCCUUGAACCUUGGUCUGUGCUUGGGAAUAGAUGCUGCGAGGAGACAAUUCAGUGGCCUGAAAUUGCAUUUUCCCUCUGUUGGUUGCUGUUGUGAUUGUGGUUGAGAAGGAGCUUUUUGUUGGCUGUUUCAUUUGGCUGGCUGUGUAUUGAGUAGGCAUGUGGUAGGGUUGGCUAUUUUACUGUCGUUCCUUACUGCCAGUGUUAGUUUUUUUCCCCAGUGGUGGUCUUUGUGUUUUGUUGUGUACUGUGUUCUGUUUGCUAUUUUUUUCUUUAUCCCUCCUUUCUCUUUUGCUGUACACUUACAACCUACAUCUUUCUUUUCUUCUGCCUUGCAUUUAAUUAUUGGGUUGUAGUAUCCCCUUAAGUACAACCUUAUUAUAUAUACUCAUUAUUGGCCUUCCAAAAAAAAAGUUUUACUGUCCAUCCUUUAAAAGUUUAGUUUUUGGCUUGGCUUUGCAGUUCAUGGAUUCUUGCUCUUUCCUCUCCUGCAAAUUUACUCAUGGGCCUAUAUGUCAUGUUUUAUCCAAGAACAUAGAAGUGAGGUAUGGUACCUAGAGUGAACGGAUCGUGAUGUGAGAAUCUAGAGAGAAUAAGAGCGUAACCGCUUAGAGAGAGAAAGUAACUGAAUUUCAAGUUUAUUAUUUCCCAAAUGGGCUAAGAGUCCC